AGCAAAAUUUGGAUGAAGCGAUCUAACUAAGUUGCCGUCAUGAGCAGAAGCAAGCGUGACAACAAUUUCUACAGUGUUGAAAUUGGAGACUCUACUUUCACUGUAUUGAAACGGUAUCAAAACUUAAAACCAAUAGGAUCGGGAGCACAAGGGAUAGUAUGUGCAGCUUAUGAUGCCAUCCUUGAACGAAAUGUUGCAAUCAAGAAGCUAAGCCGACCAUUUCAGAACCAAACCCACGCUAAAAGAGCCUACAGAGAGCUUGUUCUUAUGAAAUGUGUUAAUCACAAAAAUAUAAUCGGCCUACUGAAUGUGUUCACACCACAGAAAUCCCUGGAAGAAUUUCAAGACGUCUACAUAGUGAUGGAGCUCAUGGAUGCAAAUCUCUGCCAAGUGAUUCAGAUGGAGCUGGACCAUGAACGGAUGUCCUAUCUUCUUUAUCAAAUGCUGUGUGGUAUCAAACAUCUUCAUUCAGCUGGUAUUAUACAUAGGGAUUUAAAGCCCAGUAAUAUAGUAGUAAAGUCAGACUGCACUUUGAAGAUUCUUGACUUUGGACUGGCCAGAACUGCAGGAACUAGUUUUAUGAUGACGCCUUAUGUAGUGACUCGUUACUACAGAGCACCAGAGGUCAUCCUAGGGAUGGGAUACAAAGAAAACGUUGACAUUUGGUCAGUUGGGUGCAUCAUGGGAGAAAUGAUCAAAGGUGGUGUUUUAUUUCCUGGUACAGAUCAUAUUGAUCAAUGGAAUAAAGUUAUAGAGCAGCUAGGAACACCAUGCCCCGAAUUUAUGAAGAAACUACAGCCUACGGUCCGAACUUAUGUGGAGAACAGACCUAAAUAUGCUGGAUAUAGUUUUGAAAAACUCUUUCCAGAUGUCCUUUUCCCAGCUGAUUCUGAACACAACAAGCUUAAAGCAAGUCAAGCAAGGGAUUUGUUAUCAAAAAUGCUGGUUAUAGAUGCUUCUAAAAGAAUCUCUGUGGAUGAAGCCCUGCAGCACCCAUACAUCAACGUUUGGUAUGAUCCAUCAGAAGCAGAAGCUCCUCCACCAAAGAUACCAGAUAAGCAGUUAGAUGAGAGGGAGCACACGAUAGAGGAAUGGAAAGAGUUAAUAUACAAGGAAGUCAUGGACCUGGAGGAGAGAACCAAGAACGGGGUUAUACGUGGACAACCAGCCCCUUUAGGUGCAGCAAUGAUCAAUGGCUCUCAACAUCCAUCUUCAUCGUCAUCUGUCAAUGAUGUGUCUUCAAUGUCAACAGAUCCAACAUUGGCCUCUGAUACAGACAGCAGUCUAGAAACCUCAGCUGGACCUCUGGGUUGCUGUAGAUGACUACUUGGUCUUUUGGGGGGCGGGAGGGGGGUCCUUUUAGUCAUUAAUAGGGCACCUUUAAAGUUUGGUGGUAUUUUUGAGUGUUUUUUCAAAAAUAAUCGUAGAAUUUAUCAUAAAGUGCUGUAAUUUUAAACUGUAAGUUGUGUUAAAAGCAGCCACUUUUUUUGCUGUAAUUAACUGUAAAAUAUUAAACCUGAUAAUUUUUAUUGUGGUUUUAAAAUCUGCAUAUUUGCUUUACUAUUAUGCUGCUGAUCUUUUUUUUACUGAAUUUGUAAGAUUUAUUUUAUCAAAGCACAUAUUAAUGUUGUGGUCAUUACCAUAUAAUGAAUUAUUUAAGAUUUUAUAGGUUUUCAAUUUUUUAAUUAGAAGUUAUUCCAGAUGUUUUGUUCAUGAUAUCCUUCAAAGUUUUAGGCUUGGUCAUAUGUCUGUGUCCAGGUGGAGGGGGAGAGAAUUCAGUGCAGGCAGCUGUAGUUUUGGACAUACUACUGUAGCUCUGGCAGUGAACAAAAUCCUCUUUUAUUUUGGCCACUUGCCUCUAAUGCUUCAGCAAAAGCAACAAUUUGUGAAUUUUUUUAGAGAAACAGUGUAAAAUCCUUUGCAAAGUGACCUCAUCUGAAUGGUUUUACUAACUUAAGAAAACAAAGCCUAUCUCCAAAGCUGCAGAAAUAUCUAGCCCAAGAAAGUAACGUGGUGUUUUCUGCAGCGUUGUGGCAUGCCAAAUCUUGUGAUCGCCAUAAAACACGAGGAUACUUCAUGAAUAAUACAUUGCAAUGCAAAUAAACUGUUUACUUCUAGCUUGUAGCCUGUUUUUGUACACGCAGAACAAAGUGUAACCAGGAUGUCUAGACUGCCAUGAGGGACGACGAGUAUGCUGUAGCUCUACUUCCAUGUAAUAUGUGAUUCUUGGGAGUUUUGUUUCUUACUAGAUUUGUCUACUAAGGUGAGUGCUUUUUGGGUAGAAGAGGGAAUGACAUGAAUGCGGUAGGGGCAAAACUUCAGCUGUUCUUUCGCCACCAAAAGUAACUGAUUGCUAAAAACCAUGAAGUGGUAGGAGAACCUCAGGAUUUCUGUAGCUAAUGCAUUAAGUGAGCAAUAUAUGCCAUCCAAAGGAGGGAGAAGUAGUGCUGUAUAAAUUAAUAUUUAUCUCUUUCAUUUCACCAUGAGACCAGUGUAGCAGAAAUCUUAAUAAUGGUUCAUUUUAAGUCAUAAAUAUUCAGUAGUUUUCAGCACUGAAGUUCCAGGUUUCAAUACACUUUUUAAACAAAAGAUAUAUUGAAAUAUGUAGAACAGUUACUAAAUAGUCAUGUAAAAUGGUGCUGCUCCUCACAGAAGUAUUUUAACUGUUUACAUUUUAUAUUUACAGAAUGAUUUAUGUAUAACUGACUUAAGUUUAUGUAUGAGUUAAACAAUCAUUCAGAAUUUAUUCCUUUGGAAAAUGCAGAUUUUUAGUGAACCUAGGCUGUAUAAUUGAUUGCCUUGUGUAGAUGCAUAUUUUGUGUAGUGAUUUAGAAUGUGAAGAGGAAUUUAAAUUAGUAACGCUCACAAAAAAUGAGCAUAGAAAAAUACAGAAGUCUUGCCAGGCACAGAGCAUAAGCAAAUGGUGUAACUGGCCACAGAGGUCAUCCAGGAGUGACUGGUGCUCUUCAGUGUGGUUCCUUCUGCUUGUUGGGUUAAGUAGGUGUCUUUCUGAAGGAAAAUUUGCUGUUGCAAUAGGUUUCAGAAAAAUAGAAGCGAUAGUAAUGCUUUUAAUAUCUAACGUCUUUUUAAAAAACUUCAGGGUUACAAGGAAUGGUAGUGUCUCAAAGAUGACUGAGUUGAUAAACUGCACAGUUGUUUUCCUGGCCUGGCUAGACUGCUGGUAAGUGCUGUGUGCGUGUAAUUUUGCUUUCCUCACUUGUAUCUAAUAUUUCGGUAUUGCCUUUCUAAAACGCAUUUGUUAAGGCAAUUAUUUUUACAGGAUCCUGCCAAAUUGUAUAUUACCUCAGAAUAGGCAGGACAUGUCUGGAUUCAUCUAGCACUGGAACAUAGAAAAUCUGCUCAAGUUGAACAGAGACCAACAGAACAGUCUAUUUUGUAAUUUUUUAUCGAAGCUUAAGCUGUGAAUUAAGCCAGUAUUUUUGGCCGUACAACAGUACUGCAUUGUUAUAUAUGGUCAAAUGAUAUUCUGCCAACCCAACGCAAUGAAGUUAAGGCUGACAAAAUCAACUUCUGAUGCCUGUAAAUGCUGUUAAGGACAGAAUUUGGUCAAUAUAAUUACUAUUUAAAUUUAUUUUGGACCCCUCUGGAUUGCAGUGGUGACUGAAAUAUUUUGAAACUUUAAAACCAUUUUUGCUAUCACUUUCCAGUGUCCUAAAGAAAAAUUGCUUUAAAAUGAAUAUGGAGUGAAGUGGUUACUAAGCUUUUAUCACAGUCUGCUGUCUAUCAGCAGUAACUUCAUGGGGUUGAUCAGCUCUAAGGAGAAUUGAGCUUCUCUUCUUUUAAGGUAGGGUUGAUGGGUGGGACCCAUUGCAGCGUGUGAGCUAUGUUAAAGGGGUUAUUUCAGUCAGGUCAGAGCUUUGCCUGCAGGAACCUAGAGUUCACUUUUUGGCACCAUCUUCAUAGCAGUGUUGUGAUUUUUUUUUUUUUCCUUUUCACUUGCUUGCAUUUUAGGCAAAUUACAGUGAUAGCAAAUUUCAAAGACAAGAAAGUCUGAUGCGGUAACGAAAUUAUCAUAAAGACAUGCUAGUCUUAACUUCCCUUUUUAUUUGUUGAAAUAUAAAAUUAUCUCAUAGGUAGUUGUACACUGCCACAGGUAGCAAACAGAUGGGUAGCUAGAGUUCAGCUGACUUUGUCUAUUGUUGGUAGCUCAUAUACUAUCUAAUACACUGUACAAUUUUAUUCUUAAAGUGUUAUUAAGCUUUAUUUUAGUCUGUGAUUCCAAAACCUUCUCGUGACAACAGGCUUCCCUGAAGUGCAUGCAACUUCCCACUUCAAGGGCUGUUCCAAUCCGUUGGGAGUUGGUAGGGAGUGAAUUACAGGGAGCUGUGCCUGAUUUCUUAUGUCAGGUGAGGUUAGAAGUUGGGCAAUAAUAACGAGAUGAAUUUCCACCUUCUCUGGUCAGAGCUGGGGCAGGCGUCAAGGAUAAAAUAGCUCCUCUCCUUUUGUAGGAAUAGGUUCUUCAAGAUUUUGAAAUAGAACUGGGAAUGAAAUCUGUUACUGUGCGCUGCACCUCUGCUCUGUGAAGUCUUUGUUAGUGCAAGACAUUGGGGUCGGAAUUGAGGUUUCUGUGUGUUGGUGUGUGUGAGAAGCUGGACUGCCAGGGCAGGACCCAUCAGCUGAACAACCUUAGGCCGGCCUGACUGACCAGGUCACCUCCAGUGCACUCAUUCUGCUAAGCUGAAGGGCGCUUUUCCCUAUGUAGGCACUGUGCGGCUUGGGUUUUUAGUUUAGAAGGACCUUACUACAAUAUACGUAAUGGCGUCUUUCUGGGUAGGAAUUCCAGCUGGACACAAAGGUAAUAACAGCAUAAAUUGUCCCGUAAGCGCCGCCGUGCCCAGACUGGCGUGCCUUCGGGGGAGGACGGGGCGAGCUGUGUUUGAGGCGGUUGUGGCGAUGGCACCCUCUGCCACCCCCGUGCCCGCGAAGUAGUGUUACUGAUGUGGGUUUGUUCUGUGGAUAAUUGCUUCUCUGAACACAGACUAUUUUACUUGUUGGAGAGCAAAAAUAAAGUACCUUAGCAGGUGUCUGCAUGAAUAUAACACUCCUGCAUUGAUGUAAGUCGCAUUCAUCUCAACAUUGCAUAAAGAAAAAUGAUCAAAAAGGUAGGACGGGGGGAGAGUUCCUACCCAGCCAGUGAUGCAGAGCAUACGGCCUUACGUUUCUCGGGUAAGAUGAUGGGGGAAAGGGGAGGAGGUGGUUCAGCUUAUGCUUGGUCUGACUGUUCCGAGUUGCUAGAGGAAGUGAAUUACUGUUUCUAGAGAGGUUUUUAUUUGCUGCUGAGAGCAGCUUGUCACAUUUUGGUUUCCCAUCAGUGUUUUGGUUCUUACGUAUUUAGUUUGAGGACGGGAGUUGAAGGAGGGCUGCCUGCGUUUUUCAGUAAGAUUAGAAAGAGGGGUUUAAUGGAGAGAUGUGAUGAGACUCUACUGCCUACCCUAAGUUUCAAUUUACUUAUUCUUAGUUAAGGGCACUGGAUAAAAGUGGUAUUUUAAGCAAUCUCUUUCACUCCCUUCUUCUCCUCUUUAGAUAUCCCUGCAUUACAGAAACGUGUUAUGAAUCAGAUCCCAUUGUGUUUCUACUUCUGCAGUUAAAAAUUUAAGCUAGGUUUUCUUGAACUACCUCACACAAACUUUCUACGUUUCUUAAGUAAGCAAAGCUAACCCUUGCUAUUGGAACUACACUGAAUGUGAAUAGAAAAAUACACUUCCUUUAGAAAAAUAAACUGAUUGGCCAAUGUUGAGACAAUAUCAGUAAGUAUGUUUCUUAUAUAUUUCACGUAAGAUGUUCAUGUGUAAUAUAUAGCUCGUGUACAAUAAUGUACAUCUAGAAUAUUGUGUUAGCUGUAAAUUGGUGAUUUUAUUAUUGUAGUCUGGUUUUGUAGGUAAAAAUAGCUUACUAGUAAUGUCAGCUCAUCCUUUACAUUUUACAAAAGGAAUAAUUCUUGGUAAGCUUUGCAUACAGAUGAAUUACUUUUGUAGGCCCAAUAUCUAGUCUAUUUUUGAGAGUUCUUUAACUUUUAUUACUAAAGUUGAGAAAAAAAAAAACCCUAAUUAUUGUGAUCAUUCCUUCUGCCCCUUUUGAAAUAUAUUCUUAAUUUUAUUUUGUCCCAAGAAAUACGAAGGGGAAGAUACACCAUUAAA